rnacentral:misc_RNA from 1 species
GAUGAAGAACGCAGUGAAAUGCGAUAAGUAAUGUGAAUUGCAGAAUUCAGUGAAUCAUCGAAUCUUUGAACGCACAUUGCGCCCCUUGGUAUUCCGAGGGGCAUGCCUGUUCGAGCGUCAUUAUAACCCCUCAAGCUCAGCUUGGUGUUGGGGCCUGCUGCACUGGCAGCCCUUAAAAUCAGUGGCGGCGCCAUCUGGCUCUAAGCGUAGUAAUUCUUCUCGCUAUGGAGUCCUGGUGGAUGCUUGCCAUCAACCCCCAAUUUUUCUAUGGUUGACCUCGGAUCAGGUAGGGAUACCCGCUGAACUUAAGCAUAUAAUAAGCGGAGGA